UCAUCAAGUAACUUCCUGUAAGUCAUAUGCUUCCUACUCUACAUUGACAAAAACUCAUGCCAGGAGUUUGUUAAAAUGGAAUUAAAUCAUCUGCGCCUGAUCAUCACUUUUAUUUUCAUCCGUUUACAGAGUUUCAACACAGUAUCCAGUGAGGUGACUCAACCAAAAGCAAUAAGUGUCAAUAAAGGACAUUCUGUUACACUUACCAUACAAGACAACACAAGCCAAACAAAACAAUACGAUGAUUUUCAAUGGAAAAAAGAUAUAGACGACAUUGUAGUCACUUACAUUUCUAAUAAAUCACAGAUUCAGCCUUCCUAUAAAGAUAAAGUGGAUUUUUAUCCCGACUUCUCUCUAACAAUCAAGAACACACAGGAGACAGACGGUGGACUUUACACUGCUAAAGAAAGUGGAGAUUCAGAUAUCAUUCUUGCUCUAUACAAUGUAACUGUUGUCAGUGGUGGAUCAAGCCCUGGACCAGUUUUCCUCACAUGGAUCACAUUUCUCUUUCUUUUGGGUCCAGUGAUAAUUUGAGCCAAGUGAUGUGCUGGAGCUGCAGACAAACCAAAAAUAUAUAUAUUUUUUUAUUUUAUAGUUUAUCAUUAAAUGUCCUUGUUUUAUGCAAAAGCAAAUUAUACUCCCCAAAACAUACAUAUUUUCAAAGAUUAUAGGUUAGAUUUCAGUGGACAGAAAUAACUGAUCAAAAUAUGUACCUUUGAUGCAAAUGCUAGGGCAGCACGAUAUUGAAGAGAUCAACAUCAUCAAUUAAUUAUACCCAAUUAUACUCAAUAUCGCAAAAUGAAAUGACAGAAAAAUUAUAUAUUGCAAUAUGAUUUUUCUGUCAUUUCAUAUAGCGAUAUUAAGUUUAAUUAAUUGAUUAUAAUUGACU